rnacentral:lncRNA from 1 species
GGGGUGAAGAAGCUGAAGAAGCUAAAGUAUACUAAAUCAAAGUAUUUGUGCCAAAACAUAGUGUUUCUGCCAUAUUGUGGUACUACUACAUUACAACAUGAAUACGGAUUAAAGAUGAAAGAAACUGGCAACAAAUUCCUCGACUACAAACCAGUCUGAUACCACUUCUUUGCAGUGUUCACGUUUACUAAGGCACUACCCAAAAGGCGCCACAAGAGGGCACUCCAACACAAGAGAUGAGGUGAAUGAGCAGAAUUUCUGCUGAAAAGAGGCAGAAGGUUCUGUAUGUAGAAAAAGAAACACUGUUGAACCAUGUGUGAAAUAAAUAAAGAAAUGAAAUGAAAGAACAACCUGGUUCUGCUCAAAUUCACCAAUCAGAGGUACUGCCUCUGUCUGCUUCAUCAGGCUGUGUACUUGUUUCUGCCAUGGAGCGUUAACAAGAAUCUGAGGUCCAUAUUAGAAAAGCUGCUAAAAUCAUAAAAGUUUGCAGAAUUGUAAUAAAUUAGCAAUAUAAAUUACAGGUCUGUGAUAGUGUAUAAAUUUGUAGUGAAAAAAAAAACGUGGACCAAGGUGGGAUUGAACCCACGACCUUUGAGCUGCAGAGCCGAGUCAUUACUGAUUGCGCCACCUGGAAAGGGGGCGGCGGUCUGAAAGACAGAUACUUGGGCAGUCAGAAAAUAGAUCGCGGUGAGAGGCGAAAAAACGCCGUUUUUUGGAGUUACAAAACGUCGUGUAACUCAAAAACUAGGAGGGCUAGCAGCAUAAUUCUUGUACUGGGUGAAUCAGCGGACUUUGACUGCGAUUUUCAUAGCUCGUUCUACCUCCGUCGCGGAGAUAUGACGAGAGAAGAAACGGCUUCAUUUCCAGAGUUUGAAGACUGAGAGAAGGACAGAUUUCCACCCUCAAACAAACGUAAUUCAUUGCUCAAUGGUAAGAUAAUUGUAAAAACUGCUUCCACUGUGAGUGUCAGCAGUGUCUGAAGAUAUAUUGGCACAAGCCUCAUGUCCUAACUUUGCUUUGUUAAAGAGAUAUGGCAAUUUGAAAAUGCCUCCCGUUACAGAAUUUCAGCUCUGAAUUUCAAAACCUCCCCAUAGACUUUGAAUGGGGAGUUGUCAGACCCUGUGUCACUCCGAGGCAAAUUGCGAAAAAACGGUAAACCUCACAAUAAAGAUAGUGACAUUUUCUGAAAGCCAGCAAAAAUACCUACGUUUUGAUGUAUAAUUUGUGGGGGUUGAGUGGAAAUUGUGUGAGUAGCAAGAAGUUGUUCAGACAUGAAGAGAAAAUUCAGAACGGACCAGCACUCACUCUGACUUAAUUGCAUAGCAACCAUAGCAACGCAUGUAUUUUCUGAAAAAUCACAAAGCUGCAACUGAAAACUUAAAGAGAGAUAAGAUUAAAACGGUAGAAGAUCUGAAAAAGCUGAAUCAGACAGGAAUAGCCCAAUAAUCUGAGAACAUUUUAAAGUUUGAAUGGAGUUUCUAGGUGAAAGCAUGACAAAGUAGUUAAGUUUCAAAGACAAGCAAGUUUUAGCAGAAUUGUGGAAGUUUCCCAUUCAUUUCAAUGGGACAAAUUAAAGGAAAAAAGUGUAAUAUUUUAAAAAGUAUAACAGUAAUAAACACCAAAAGAUAUAGCCGGAAUUAGCAGAAAUAGCAGAACAGUUUAGAGUUUGAACGGAGAAAAUCGGCUGAAAACUGAGGGAGUAGUUCAGUGCCAAAAAACGGGGCAGCAACUUGAAGAAUAAAGUUUAAAACAGGAAAACAAUAGUGUGGAAGCCCUUUAGGGCAUCCACACAAUAAAGAGAAACAGGAACUCAAUAGUGUGGAAGCCCUUUGAGGGCAUCCACACAAUAAUAAAGAACUAGAAAAAUUUGCAUUUCCUGCGAAAAUGCUGUGUGGAUGCCUUAACGCUGAAGCUGUCUGCUCAAAAACUGAAAAAGAUGAAAAGUUGCAAAAAGUUGUAUGGUGGUGAAAAAAAACAUGUCGCCCUGAGCAGGAUUCGAACCUGGCCCUCCUGGUCUCAAGGCAGCUACUCAUCUCACUGAGCUAAACUCAUUCUCUCAGAAAAGAGGAGGAGAGAUCGAUAAUUCUACUAAAAUGAGCAGAAGCUGCUGAGAAUUGUGCUGAGAAGAGGUGAAAAGGCUGAAAAUUUUGCAGAAAAGAGGUAAAUCAGCAGAAUUUCUGCAGAAAAGAGGCAGAACAAAAGAACAAAAGAGAAAACUGAAAACAGGUUUUGCCAUGACCGGAAUUUGAACCUGGCCGUUCUCGUCUCAAAGCAGCUACUCAUCUCACUGAACCAAACUCUUUCUCUCAAAAACAAGAGAUGGAGAAACUGACAAUUUUGCUAAAUGAGCAGAAGCUGCUGAGAAUUGUGCUGAGAAGAAGUGAAAAGGCUGAAAAUUUUGCAGAAAAGAGGUGAAUCAGCAGAAUUUCUGCAGAAAAGAGGUAAAGAAGCAAUAAGUUGCGCUAAAAAGAGAUGAAUCAGCAGAAUUUCUGCUCAAAAGAGUUUUUUUUCUGAAAACAGCUGAGAUUUGUGCUGAUAAGAGGUGAAAAGGCUGAACAUUUUGCAGAAAAGAGGUGAAUCAGCAGAAUUUUUGCAGAAAAGAGGUAAAGAAGCAAUAAGUUGCGCUGAAAAGAGAUGAAUCAGCAGAGUUUCUGCUGAAAAGAGUUUUGUUUUUCUGAAAACAGCCAAAAAAGCUGGAAUUUGUGCUGAAAAGGGGUGAAAAAAAAUGAAAAUUUUGCUGAAAAGGGGUGAAGAAGCUAAAGUAUACCAAAUCAAAGUAUUUGUGCCAAAACAUAGUGUUUCUGCCAUAUUGUGGUACUACUACAUUACAGCAUGAAUACGGAUUAAAGAUGAAAGAAACUGGCAACAAAUUCCUCGACUACAAACCAGUCUGAUACCACUUCUUUGCAGUGUUCACGUUUACUAAGGCACUACCCAAAAGGCGCCACAAGAGGGCACUCCAACACAAGAGAUGAGGUGAAUGAGCAGAAUUUCUGCUGAAAAGAGGCAGAAGGUUCUGUAUGUAGAAAAAGAAACACUGUUGAACCAUGUGUGAAAUAAAUAAAGAAAUGAAAUGAAAGGACAACCUGGUUCUGCUCAAAUUCACCAAUCAGAGGUACUGCCUCAGUCUGCUUCAUCAGGCUGUGUACUUGUUUCUGCCAUGGAGCGUUAACAAGAAUCUGAGGUCCAUAUUAGAAAAGCUGCUAAAAUCAUAAAACUUUGCAGAAUUGUAAUAAAUUAGCAAUAUAAAUGACAGGUCUGUGAUAGUGUAUAAAUUUGUAGUGAAAAAAAAAAACGUGGACCAAGGUGGGAUUGAACCCACGACCUUUGAGCUGCAGAGCCGUGUCAUUACUGAUUGCGCCACCUGGAAAGGGGGCGGCGGUCUGAAAGACAGAUACUUGAGCAGUCAGAAAAUAGAUCGCGGUGAGAGGCGAAAAACGCCGUUUUUUGGAGUUACAAAACGUCGUGUAACUCAAAAACUAGGAGGGCUAGCAGCAUAAUUCUUGUACUGGGUGAAUCAGCGGACUUUGGUGUAUUUUGACUGCGAUUUUCAUAGCUCGUUCUACCUCCGUCGCGGAGAUAUGACGAGAGAAGAAACGGCUUCAUUUCCAGAGUUUGAAGACUGAGAGAAGGACAGAUUUCCACCCCUCAAACAAACGUAAUUCAUUGCUCAACGGUAAGAUAAUUGUAAAAACUGCUUCCACUGUGAGUGUCAGCAGUGUCUGAAGAUAUAUUGGCACAAGCCUCAUGUCCUAACUUUGCUUUGUUAAAGAGAUAUGGCGAUUUGAAAAUGCCUCCCGUUACAGAAUUUCAGCUCUGAAUUUCAAAACCUCCCCAUAGACUUUGAAUGGGGAGUUGUCAGACCUUGUGUCACUCCGAGGCAAAUUGCGAAAAAACGGUAAAUCUCACAAUAAAGAUAGUGACAUUUUCUGAAAGCCAGCAA